AUAACUUCUGGAAACGGAUGCUAAAACCGGAUAGGUAGCAGACAAGCAUUUGACUGCUAUUAAAGUGGCUAAGGCCAUGAACAUGGAUGGACCUGCGGUGCAUUAGCUAGUUGGUGAGGUAACGGCCCACCAAGGCGACGAUGCAUAGCCGGCCUGAGAGGGCGGACGGCCACAUUGGGACUGAGACACGGCCCAAACUCCUACGGGAGGCAGCAGUAGGGAAUUUUCGUCAAUGGGGGGAACCCUGAACGAGCAACGCCGCGUGAGUGAGGAAGGUCUUCGGAUCGUAAAGCUCUGUUGUAAGAGAAAAACGGCACUCAUAGGGAAUGAUGAGUGAGUGAUGGUAUCUUACCAGAAAGUCACGGCUAACUACGUGCCAGCAGCCGCGGUAAUACGUAGGUGGCGAGCGUUAUCCGGAAUGAUUGGGCGUAAAGGGUGCGUAGGUGGCAGAUCAAGUCUGGAGUAAAAGGUAUGGGCUCAACCCGUACUGCUCUGGAAACUGAUCAGCUAGAGAACAGAAGAGGACGGCGGAACUCCAUGUGUAGCGGUAAAAUGCGUAGAUAUAUGGAAGAACACCGGUGGCGAAGGCGGCCGUCUGGUCUGGAUUCUGACACUGAAGCACGAAAGCGUGGGGAGCAAAUAGGAUUAGAUACCCUAGUAGUCCACGCCGU
rnacentral:rRNA from 1 species